rnacentral:lncRNA from 1 species
UUUGAUCACGACCAGAGAUGUUCCUGAACCAUCUGGCUCAUUUCCACGAGCAGAGGGCACAGAUGUCGACCAUCUUACCAUUGUUCUGAGGACAUUAGCAUCCCUCACCACCCCCAGCAUUUGUGCAUCCUGUUCUGGAGGAUCAGUAGGAGUUCAGGUAAGUCAGUGAGCAAUUGACACCUCAGGGGAACUCUCGGGCACUUCCCAGUCCCUUGACGGACUCCUCGUUUUCUCAGGGAGGGGCAGAAUCAGUCCCCAGGAUGUGAUCUUCCCUCUCCCCCUUCUCCUUUCCUCGCUGUACCUUUCAAUUAAA